CGCCUCUUGAAUUUUAUAAGAGGUCCAGCCUGCCCAGUGACUCUGUUCAACGGCCGCGGUAUCCUAACCGUGCGAAGGUAGCGUAAUCACUUGUUCUUUAAAUGUGGACUAGUAUGAAUGGCACUACGAGGGUUAUACUGUCUCCUUUUUCUAAUCAGUGAAACUAAUUUUCCCGUGAAGAAGCGGGAAUAUAACUAUAAGACGAGAAGACCCUAUGGAGCUUUAAACAACCCAGCAAUUACUUCUAAAAUCAUAAAUUUCAGAAUAUUCAUUUUCUAAGUAACAUGUCUGCAAGUUUUUGGUUGGGGUGACCAUGGAGAAUAACAUAACCUCCAUAUUGAAUGAAUUCCCUUCUAAGCUAAAAAUUACCUAUUGAAGCAUCAAUACACUGACAUUUAUUGACCCAAUAUAUUUGAUCAACGAACCAAGUUACCCUAGGGAUAACAGCGCAAUCCACUUCAAGAGCCCCUAUCGACAAGUGGGUUUACGACCUCGAUGUUGGAUCAGGGUAUCCCAGUGGCGCAGCCGCUACUAAAGGU
rnacentral:rRNA from 1 species